rnacentral:misc_RNA from 1 species
AGCCAGAGAAUAUCUAUUGGAUACGUUGUUGCUGCUUUAUGUGAAAUCUGGCUUUCACGUGGAACACACAGGGAACUAGGUUUCUUCAAGGGUUAUUAUUGGCAUUGGUAAGGUUUUAAAAUUUUGACAUUGCUCUACACAUUAUUGAACCUCAAGCAUAACGCAUAUCUAGCAACAGUAUUAUUUUUAACACUGGCACUUUGACUUCAAUCGUUGAUACUAUUUGAUGGUUCAAUUGCCCAACAUCAUUUCUUUUCUCUGUCACAGAGGCCCUAUUAAGCAGGUUUUGAAUUUUGAUCUAUGAGCACAUUUAGGUUAGAAUUCAAGUAAUAUUUUAAUGCACUGAUCAAAUUGCUGUUCAAGGUAUAUAACUUUUGUAUUUGAUAUUUUAUUGCUUUUUUGCAAUGCCAAUCCUUUUUGGUCAUGAUUCUUCAUUUCUGUUGUUAAUAAUCAAUGCUUAAUAGUGAGCAAAAACUUCAUGAUUUUUUUUCUUUCUUAAAUAAACAACUUGUUACAAUGUUUUAUGUUUCGGCAAUGAAGAAAAACUUUGUUUUCCAGGUUUUUGGCAUUUUCAUUGUCAGCAAU